rnacentral:rRNA from 1 species
AUCAUGGAGAGUUUGAUCCUGGCUCAGAACGAACGCUGGCGGCGCGUCUUAAGCAUGCAAGUCGAGCGGCAGGGGGGAGCAAUCCUUCCGAGAGCGGCGGACUGGUGAGUAACGCGU